UACGGAGGGUGCAAGCGUUAUCCGGAAUCAUUGGGUUUAAAGGGUCCGCAGGCGGGAUUAUAAGUCAGUGGUGAAAGCCGGCAGCUUAACUGUCGAACUGCCAUUGAUACUGUAGUCCUUGAAUUCGGUCGGAGUGGGCGGAAUAUGUCAUGUAGCGGUGAAAUGCUUAGAUAUGACAUAGAACACCGAUAGCGAAGGCAGCUCACUAGACCUGGAUUGACGCUCAUGGACGAAAGCGUGGGGAGCAAAC
rnacentral:rRNA from 1 species